rnacentral:lncRNA from 1 species
CAGUUGCCUGGGAAACCAAUUUCUUAGAGCUGUCAUUCAAGAGUGGGUCAAAUUUGAGAUAUAAAAACCUUUCUCAAGGUAGACUCUUUGGCCCCUAUGCCUAGUACGUCAGCUGGGCCUCUGAAGCUCUCCUCUUUGAGGUCCUGGCAGGCUCUGGCCCCUGUUGAGAAGGGGAAGCAGUCAUGUGAACUCAUGUGCUGGAAGAAUCCACUCUACCCCUUCCCUGGCUACUCUCAGCUUCUCUGCUGCAAUUUUUGUCUUUAAACAUAUCUUCAGAUCCUUUGCACAUGGCCUGCUAUCAACAAUCCUCUACAAUGAUUCUCAGCAUCACCUGGGGAGCUUAUGUAAAAACUCAAAUUCCUGGGCCCUAUCCCCAGAGUUUCUUAUCAAGUAAGUCUACAUUGGUAUCUGAGGAUUUGCGUCGCUAACAAAAAUUCCUAGGUGAUGCUGACACUGUUGGUGUAAGGUUUCCUUGAUGGAGAACUAUCAAAGCAGUCAAAGCUGUCAAAAUAAAAAAUAAUUCUGAUUGGGUGCAGUGGCUCACACCUGUCAUUCCAGCACUUUGAGAGGCCAAGGUGGGCAGAUCACAUGAGGCCAGGAGUUCAAGACCAGCCUGGCCAACAUGGCAGAAACCCCAUCUCUACUAAAAAUACCAAAAUUAGCCGGGCAUGGUGGAACACACCUGCAAUCCCAGCUACUGGGGAGGCUGAGGCAAGAGAAUCGCUUGAACCGGGGAGGCAGAAGUUGCAGUGAAACAAGGUGGUACCAAUGCAUUCCAGCCUGGACGACAGAGCGAGACUCUGUCUCAAGAAAAAAAAAAAAAAAAGAAUUCUGCCUCAUAGCAUCUUUUAAGUUAUACACUGGACCUAUCCUUUCCUCACUGACAGACAUUUUAAAAAUUUUUUGGUAAGGCCUAGUUCAUAUAAAAUGUAAUCCAAGCCAAAAGUUAACAAGAAUAAGGGGAGGAAAGGGGACUCCAAUAGCAGAGAAAGGUAUUUACCUGGGAUAUACACUGCAAGAAAAUCAAAGCUGUAAGAAAUGUCCAUGAAUAGUAGCCAUAAGGCAUCAGAGUGAUAAAAUUCCUGUCCCUAGGAGGGAAUAUUGGAGUUUGCCAGAGAAACAGAAUGAGAGAGAGAGAGGUUUAUUGUAGGAGACAGAGAGGUUUAUUGUAGGAAUUGGCUCAUAUGAUUACGGAGGCUGAGAAGACCCACGAUCUGCCAUCUGCAAGCUGGAGAAUCAGGAAAGCUGGAGGUGUAAUUCAGUCAAGUCCAAUGGCCAGAGAAGCAAGUGUACUGAUAUCCAAGAGCAGGAGAAAAUAGAUGUCCCAGAACAAGCAGAGAGGCUGAUUUUGUCCUUCCUCUGCCUUUUUGUUUCAUAUGGGGCACUGAAUGGACUGAUGCCCAUCCACAUUAGUGAGGGUGGAUCUUCUUUACUCAGUCUACCAGUAGAAAUGUCAAUCACUUCCAGAAACACCCUCACCAACACACGUGGAAAUAAUGUUUUACCAGGUAUCUGGGCAUCCCUUAGUUCACUCAAGUUGACACAAAAUUAACCAUCACAGAAGGAGACUGGCCUUACUCUGAAAUUAGGAAACUAAAGAAGUGACCAGAAUAGAGAUUAGGUAGAGACAACUAGUUCUUUACCAAAUAUGUACAGUCAUUCCUUGGUAUCUGAGGGGGAUUGGUUCCAGGAACUCUCAGGGAUACCAAAAUCUGCAGGUGCUCAAGUCAUUUAUAUAAAAUGUUACAGUAUUUGCAUAUAACCUUUGCACAUCUUCCACAUACUUUAAAUCAUCUCUAGAUUACUUAUAAUAAUGAAUGUAGUGUAAAUGCUAUGGAAAUAGUUAUUACACUGUAUUGUUUAUUUGUAUUGAAUUGUUUUGGGGUGGGGGGCAGCUGUAUUCUCCUCUCUUUCUUAAUAAUAGAACCCCUGGUUUUUAGCUGGACACAUGACUGCCCUCAAUAAAGAUUAAAGUACCCCAACCUUCCUUGAGAUUGUGGCCAUGUGACUGAACUGUAGACAGUGAGAUAUAAGCAGAUAUCUUCUGUGGCAGUGUUAGGAAACUAUUAAAGACAGUAAGAACAUUGCCCUUUGCCUUCUUUUUCCUUUCUUCAUUUUUCUGCCUGGAAUGCAAAUGUGAUGGCUAACACCCUAGCAGCCAUUUUAGAUUAUGAAGAUGAGAGCCACUCCCCAGGAAGGAUGGACCUGAAAGCUGGAUUCUAGAUGUGGAAUGACAAUACCAGCCCUCGACUACCUACCUGUAGGCUGUGUGUGUGUGUGUGUGUGUGUGUGUGUGUGUGUGUGUGAUAGAGAGAUAGAGAUACCACAAGUAACACAAAGCAUGGUACCUGGGACUGGGAAGGUAAAUGUUUAAACAUUUUAAAUGUGGCAUUGGUUUGUUGAAGACAGUCAAGCAGUAGGUGCUGCAGGCUUUGUUGAGGCUAGAAAGCUGUUGGUCUUUAUUAGGUGAUGGCAAAACAAUGGAUCACAUUUUUAUGUGCUGUGUCUUGGGAGGCAAAUGAUGAGAAUGUAGGAUUGGGGAAAAUGGUAAGGAAAAUCCAAAAUGUUCAUGUUUUCUAACCCCUUCUUGCCAAUCUUAAAAGAAGGACAAACUAGGCUAGAUUAAGCAAGUCUACAGUUACAGUUGGAAGGAAACAGCCGUAUUAAGGAAGUACUCUGUCUGUGGCCUGCAGUCUAGUUUGACUAGGUCCUGUAUUUGAGCUUUGAAGGAGUAAAGAAUACAAGUGCUCAUAUACCCCUGAAGUAGUUACCAGCAGUGACUGCAAGGAGGUAAUCUUAUGGGAUGAAACUAUAACUCUGUAUUAACCAUCAUAUAUAGCAUAUAUGUGUAUAUGUAUGUGUGUGUGUAUAUAUGUGUGUAUAUAUGUGUAUAUAAAUAUAUGUGUGUGGAUAUACACACGUACACACACCCUACAACCCAGUGAUUUCAAAAAAUUAAACAUUUGUUUAGCUCAUGAAUCUGUGGGUUAGGUAACCACUUCUAUUGGUCUUGGCUGGGCUCACCUGUACCCAGUCAGCUGCAGGGUCUAGCUCUUCUUAUCUUGGCUGGGAUCUCGCACAUGUCUAGGAUCAGCUGCUUUACUAGUCUAGGAUUCUCUUGGCUGAGACAGGUGGACUACUCGGCUCUCCUCCACUGCCUUAUCCUUCAGCUGGCCAGCCCAGAAAUGUUGCCAUGUUUACAGCAUAAGAGCAAGAAAGAAAGAAUAAUAUGCAACCACUUUUCCAAGCCUAAGGUGAAGGGGCGGGCAGAACCUGUGGUGUUAGGAGGCAACUCAUACCAGCCCACGGGUUACCGUUAAUUUUCAGGAAUUUGGCAAGCUGAUUGUUAACACAGCCAUUGUUUAAAUUAUGUACUUGUAAUUAAAUAAUUUACAUUAAAACAAACAGGUACUCAAAA